GACGAACGCUGGCGGCGUGCUUAACACAUGCAAGUCGAGCGGUAAGGCCCUUUCGGGGUACGACGAGCGGCGAACGGGUAGGAGUAACAACGUGGGUGGACCUCGCCCUCCAGCUCUGGGAGUAAGACCCGGGAAACCGUAGGUCGUAAUAACCGGAUAUGACUCCAUGACGCAUGUUGUGGGGUGGAAAGACCUUGUGCGGCUGAGGAUGGGCCCGGCCGGCCUAUCAGCUUGUUGGUGGGGUGAUGGCCUACCAAGGCGACGACGGGUAGCCGGCCUGAGAGGGCGACCGGCCACACUGGGACUGAGACACGGCCCAGACUCCUACGGGAGGCAGCAGUGGGGAAUCUUGCGCAAUGGGCGAAAGCCUGACGCAGCGACGCCGCGUGAGGGAUGACGGCCUGG
rnacentral:rRNA from 1 species